rfam:Exidia glandulosa HHB12029 unplaced genomic scaffold EXIGLscaffold_1369, whole genome shotgun sequence.
GCCUUAAUAGCUCAGUGGUAGAGCGCGCCACUCGUACCAGUAUGCGAUGGUGAGGUCCGUCGUUCAAUCCGGCGUUGAGGCA